ACCCUUCAAGAUAGGCAAUCAAUCAACUUCUAAUUCUCUCCUCUCAUCAUUCUCUAUCUCCUGACUUAAGCAUCGAAGGGUUUACACUGGAGCCACCCCCUGAUGUGGACUUAUUUUAUAGGUGUUCGUGCAAAAUUCUAGUAGUGAAUUCAUCUCAACUAUAUCUACCUAGGCGACCGACCUCAGGUGGGGAGAUCGAUAGCAACAUUUGACGCUAGAGGAAGGGGCUCUUCGACUAGUCUUGAGAUCCUACUUCAAAGAUAGUCUUGAGGUCCUAUUUUGAGAGAAGAGGAAGCUUGUCACCAGUCGCCAAUCGCCAUGAGGACAUGCAGAGGGGCAUCGAAUGCGUCAUAGUGUUCCAAUGGUUAGUAGGCCAACAACAUCCAGCCGACCAAUGAAUUACCACCAGCAUAGGAGAAUCCUCCACCCAUCUCACCAACAGCACUAGUAGCCCCCCGACAUCGACAAUCUCUCAUGAUCAAUAUAAUAGCCUCAUCCAACAAGUACAGAUACUGUCAGCAGCAGUGCGGGGGAUCCAACAAAACAAGGAGCCAUUCCCCACUGCAGAAGAUGCACGGCU
rnacentral:lncRNA from 1 species